rnacentral:rRNA from 1 species
GCUUAAAUGGGAAAUGACAGGUUUAGAAAUAGACUUUUCUUCGGACAUUUUUCAAGGUGCUGCAUGGUUGUCGUCAGCUCGUGCCGUGAGGUGUUAGGUUAAGUCCUGCAACGAGCGCAACCCCUGUCACUAGUUGCCAUCAUUAAGUUGGGGACUCUAGUGAGACUGCCUACGCAAGUAGAGAGGAAGGUGGGGAUGACGUCAAAUCAUCACGGCCCUUACGCCUUGGGCCACACACGUAAUACAAUGGCCGGUACAGAGGGCAGCUACACUGCGAAGUGAUGCAAAUCUCGAAAGCCGGUCUCAGUUCGGAUUGGAGUCUGCAACUCGACUCUAUGAAGCUGGAAUCGCUAGUAAUCGCGCAUCAGCCAUGGCGCGGUGAAUACGUUCCCGGGCCUUGUACACACCGCCCGUCAAGCCAUGGAAGUCUGGGGUACCUGAAGUCGGUGACCGUAACAGGAGCUGCCUAGGGUAAAACAGGUAACUAGGGCUAAGUCGUAACAA